rnacentral:rRNA from 1 species
UACGUAGGGUGCGAGCGUUAAUCGGAAUUACUGGGCGUAAAGUGUGCGCAGGUGGCCGCGCAAGUCGAGUGUGAAAAUCCCCGAGCUUAACUUGGGAAUUGCGCUCGAAACUACGUGGCUCGAGUGUGGCAGAGGAAGGUGGAAUUCCACGUGUAGCGGUGAAAUGCGUAGAGAUGUGGGGGAACACCGAUGGCGAAGGCAGCCUUCUGGGCCAACACUGACGCUCAUGCACGAAAGCGUGGGGAGCAAACAGG